rnacentral:rRNA from 1 species
UGGGGGAUAUUGCACAUUGGAGGAGACUCUGAUGCAGCAACGCGGCGUGAGGGAAGAAGGUCUUCGGAUUGUAAAGCUUUGUCAGUGGGGAAGAUAAUGACGGUAGCUAGGGAGGAAGCCGCGGCUAAAUACGUGCCAGCAGCCGCG